UGCCUAGUCAAGUAUAUGUGCUUUGAAACUUGUCUCGCGUUUUUGUUUAAAUGAAUUAUCAUAAACAACAGCAUAUCUAACCUAACAAACUAACACUAAAUAAAAAAUAAUCAUACUUCUAACAUAUGAGCAGAUAAUUAACCGGAACAUCAAAUCACAAACAUCUAUAACCUACAAGCAAAAUCAAUGCUGCACAUAUUUCUUGUAUAAAUCUCUAGGCAAUGAAAUAACCAUGCUUCCAGCAUAUGAAUCUCUAGGCAACGAAAUAACCAUGAUUCCAGGAUAUUGGCAGAGAAUCG
rnacentral:lncRNA from 1 species